rnacentral:tRNA from 2 species
GAUCCCUUAGCUCAGUUGGAAGAGAGUUUGUCUAACACGCAAAAGAUCGCAGGAUCGAAUCAUGCAGGAAUCA